UACCCAUCCCGAACACGACCGUUAAGCCCUCCAGCGCCGAUGGUACUUGGACCGCAGGGUCCUGGGAGAGUAGGACGCCGCCAAGC
rnacentral:rRNA from 5 species